GCUUACAUUUUUGAUGGUCUCCACUAUGGUGUUUCAGACUUCUUGUUUGCCGCUUACUCCAUGAUGGUGGUUGGGGCAAUUUCAUCAGCAUUUCUUCUCUAUGUUCCUUCUAUUGUUGGUCUUUCGGGAGUUUGGUGUGGUUUGACUCUUUUCAUGGGCUUGCGUACUGUGGCUGGAUAUAUGAGAUUAUCAUCGAAAAAUGGUCCAUGGUGGUUUUUACAGGAAGCCAUCCAAAAACCUCGGGUUGCCAUUUAACAUGUCACUUCAGCUAUGAGGAUUUUGUUGGGAUUAUAAAUCUCUCUCUCUCUCUCUCUCUCUCUCUCUCUAUGGUGUACAGUCGUCAAUGUUGAGUUGCCUCAAUUAAAUCUAUAAUCUCAAAUUUAUUUGUUUUUCAAAUGUAUACCGUUGGAUCUUAUCAGUUGAUGUAUCAUUUGUCAUACGCAUCUGUACCAUUAAUUUUUGUGAAUGUUUUCAACCGA